UACAGAGGGUGCGAGCGUUGUUCGGAAUUACUGGGCGUAAAGCGUGCGCAGGCGGUUAUGUCAGACAGGUGUGAAAUCCCCGGGCUUAACCUGGGAACUGCAUUUGUGACUGCAUAGCUAGAGUACGGUAGAGGGGGAUGGAAUUCCGCGUGUAGCAGUGAAAUGCGUAGAUAUGCGGAGGAACACCGAUGGCGAAGGCAAUCCCCUGGACCUGUACUGACGCUCAUGCACGAAAGCGUGGGGAGCAAACAGG
rnacentral:rRNA from 1 species